UUUUUCUCGUUCAGAAAGGUUUGUUUUUAGUUUUAACAUUUGAUGUAGGGGACAUAGCAGAACAUUGUUUCAUGAAUGGGGUGUAGAAGAUCAACUCUUUGAUUAGGCAAAACUAGUUACUUCCAUUGAUUAUGUAUAAUCAUGUAUAUUAGGAUACAUACUAUCAUUCUCACCUUUAGGUCUACAUGGUAACACUAUCUUGUAUUGAUGUUAAACCUUGUUUACUUGAGCACAUAUGACAAUUU
rnacentral:lncRNA from 1 species